UAGAAUGUCAACAAGGGCGUAUGGUGGAUGCCUUGACUCUAAGAGGCGAUGAAGGACGUAGCAUGGCUGCGAUAAGCUUCGGGGAGGUGCCUAGCAACCUUCGAUCCGGAGAUUUCCGAAUGGGGAAACCCCUCCGCGUAAAUCGCGGAGAUCCGUCCAAAUUUUUAAGCUUUUAUUUUGUUAUGUAAUUAAUAAGGAGCCUCCAAAGAGGCCCCGGUUAGUAGCGUUGAUGCUACGCAAAAAACAUAAAAGUAACGAAUAGCGACAAGAUUAACACAAGAAGAAGAAGAAUGAUAAUUUUCAUCUGACGAUCCUCGGGCUUGUUCAUAAAGUUUGUGAAUUUAUCCAAGAGAAGAACGCAGAUAGUUGCCGUGAGAGCUCCAAGCGCCAUAUACCAGAGAAGGGUAAGCACGGGCAAGGAACUUGUAUUAGCAACUAUUCCAAACAUAAUCAUAAAAAGUAACCAUAUUUCAAAAAAUCCUUUUCGGGUUUGUGGGUUGCACAUCGCGCGUUCUCCUCAAAUCGUCACUAGUGUUAAUUUUAACAAAUCUACUUAAUUUUGUCAAGAGCUUAAAAAUUUGGACGGAAGCAGACCCAGGGAAUUGAAACAUCUUAGUACCUGGAGGAAAAGAAACUAAUUUGAACUUUUUAGUUUACGGGAGCGGCAAUCGCCUUCGUAAAUUAAAAAGUUCUCAGCAUUCCCUUAGUAGCGGCGAGCGAAACGGGAGAAGCUCAAACCCAGCACCACUUUUUGUUUUCAAGUAUACUAAAUUUAACAUGUGGAGUGUAUAUCUAAUUCAACAUUCAGAAACAAGAACAGUCUAUAUUGGAGUUACAUCGAGUUUAAAACAACGAAUCAGUCAACAUAACUCGAAUGUAAAUUAUUCAACUAGACGAAAAAAUGGUAAAUGGAUUCUUGUGUAUGCAGAAGCAUACAGAAACAAAGAAGAUGCAUAUCAACGAGAAGCGCGCUUGAAACAACAUGGUCGCGCCAAGCAAGAAUUAUUGAGAAGAGUAAAUCGAAGUCUAUUUUCUUGAAAACAAAAAGUGGUGCUGGGGGUUGUGGGGAAACAAUACGGGCGUAGCCCGGAAAGUCAUAAAAUAUUUUGAUUAGCAGAAAUCGCUGGAAAGCGAUGCCCAAGAGGGUAAUGGCCCCGUAUGCGAAAAUCAAAAUUUCUUUCUGAUUGUUUUACCCGAGUACCUCGAGACAUGAAUAGCUCGGGCGAAUCCGGCAGAACUAACUGCCAAAGCUAAAUACUCUUAGAGAUCGAUAGUGAACAAGUACCGUGAGGGAAAGGUGAAAAGAACCCCGGCGAGGGGAGUGAAAUAGACCUGAAACCAUAUGCCUACAAGGAGUCGGAGCCGAGCACCACUUUAGGCGUUAUCGUAUAAUAAAUUUUAUGUAUUAUACAUACGUUUUAAAAGGGAACUCAAAUCCUUCUUUUUACAUCGGUCAUACGGCUGAUUUAAAAAAGCGAACAGAAUAACACAACAAUAGUAAGAAUAUAUCAACCAAUCGAGGCAGACCCUGGAAGUUGGUAUAUUACGAAGCUUUUUUAAAUCUAGCACAAGCUCAAGACCGCGAGCGAAAAUUAAAACAACGUGGUCGAGCAUGGCAAGAAUUAAAAAGAAGGAUUGUAUAGUGCCUAAAGUGGUGCUCGGUGACGGCGUGCCUAUUGAAGAAUGAGCCAACGAGUUAAUAUGUGCGGCAGGCUAAGCCUUUCGGGGUGGAGCCAUAGGGAAACCGAGCGUUAAUAGCGCGUAUAUCGUUCGCAUCACAGUGCCUGUGAUGCUCACUCAAACAAAUGUAAAAAUCAAAACGCAAAACGUAAAAUUGUGGAGCGAAUUUCGUUACAACAAAAUUCGCAAGAAGUUUUUCGCCACAGGCGAAUCCGUAAUUUUUACUUUUGCACUUUACAUUUUGAAUUUGAGCGAGCAUCGCGCGUAGCGUGAUGCGAGCGAUUGUCGUACGUAUUAGACCCGAAACCAAGUGAGCUUGCCAUGGGCAGGGUGAGUCCCGGUGAAAACCGGGAGGAGGCCCGAACCAGUUGGUCGUGCAAUUCCAUUGGAUGACCUGUGGUAAGGAGUGAAAAGCUAAUCGAACUUGGUAAUAGCUGGUUCUCUCCGAAAUAGCUUUUGGGCUAGCGUCUGGCGAACCCUCUGGGGGUAGAGCACUGGAUGGAAAGAACAGGGAGAAAUCUCGUCUUUCCAAUCAAACUCCGAAUACCAGAGAUUAUUACCGGGCAGUUAGACCGUGGGGGCGAAGCUCCACCGGUCAAACAGGGGAACAGCCCCAAUCUCAAUCUAAGGUCCCUAAAUCUACAUUAAGUGCACUUAAGGAGGUGUAAUUUCUCUGACAGUGAGGAGGUUGGCUUAGAAGCAGCCAUCCUUUAAAGAAAGCGUAACAGCUCACUCACAUAGAGAUUGCGCGCCGAAGAUAAUCGGGGCUAAAUGUAGUACCGAAGGUGAGGGUUUUUUGUUCAUUCGUGAACAAGAAGCGGUAGGAGAGUGUUCCACUCUGCGAUGAAGGCAAAGGGGCGACCCAUGCUGGAGCGUGUGGAAGUAAGAAUGUUGGCACAAGUAACCACAAUGACGGUUAAAUCCCGUCACGCCGAAAGACUAAGGUUUCCUUGGCAAUGAUAAUCAACCAAGGGUUAGUCGGGCCUAAGCGAAUGGCGAAAGCCGAACGCGAUGGACACACGGUUAAUAUUCCGUGACCUGAAUAUAUUUCGAUGGGGCGACGAAGGGCAGUAUGUUGAGCGCAUUAUUGGAUUUGCGUUCGUGUCGUAAGAGGGCUCUUUUGGAAAAUCCGGAGAGCUCCGCCGCAAGGUGGAACUUCAAGCGAAGCGAAAAUUGUGCGGCCCUCGGGCCAAAUGAAAUUUAACAAAGCGCGCUUCCAAGAAAAACCUCUAAGAUUAAAUAUAUUCAGUCCGUACCGCAAACCGACACAGGUAGUCAGCUCGAGAAGAGUAAGGCGAACGAGUGAGAGUUUCCCAAGGAACUCGGCAAAUCAGCAGCCGUAACUUCGGAAUAAGGCUUCCCAGCACCACUUUGAUUUUAAAAAUUUGAAAUCAAAGUGGUGCUGGGCGCAGCGAAAGUAUCCCUGGCGACUGUUUAUUUAAAACACAGCUCCCUGCUAACUCGCAAGAGGAUGUAUAGGGGGUGAUGCCUGACCAAUGCCAGAAGGUCAAAUACGGAGGGUCUCAGGACUUCGGUUUUGAGGCUGGACUGUAUAAGCCCUGGUGAAUGUCGGCUCUAACUAUAAGAGUCCUAAGGUUCUGCAACUCUCGAACGAGGGUUUCAGGAGGACUGGGACUCUAUAUAGAGUAUUAAUAAACAGAAUAAAAUAUGUAUCAUUAAUAAAAAGCUACCUUUGCGUUUCGCAAGAUACGCAUAAGUCCAAUCACGGCUCACAUGAGAGGCCAUACGCCGUGCCCGAGCACCACUUUUUUUCAAAAACAAAAGUGGUGCUUGGUGAAGACAUGGUCCUUCUUGAGGAAUAGAAGAGCGUAAUUCCUUGUCUACUAAUUAUAGACGUGCACGAAUGGUACAACGACUGGGGGACUGUCUCGGGAAACAGCUCGGUGAAAAUACAAUACCGGUGAAGAUGCCGGUUACCCACAGCUAGACGAAAAGACCCCGGAAGCUUUACUACAACUUGGUACUGGGUGUAUGUUUUAACUGCGUAGCAUAGACGGGAGACGUUGAGAUCUUGGUUUCGGCUGAGAUGGAGUCGCCAGUGAAAUACCGUUCUGUUCAAAUAUAUAUUCUAACCUGUCGCGUCAAACGCGGCUGGGGACACUGCCUGGUGGGUAGUUUUGGUGGGGCGCCAUCCUUCAGAGCGCAGACUGACGCAGACUUUACGCAGAAAUGCGCGGAAGUUUUGCCGUUGGUUGUGCUUUGAAAUUAUGGCGCCUCAUGAGGUGAAUAGACUCGUACCUCAAAACAAAUAAAUUAGGGGGACCUAUCGCAGUAAUGCGGUAUGGAAAAAGUUGUCCCGAUUUUGUUCUCGCUGAAAGCGGGAUUACAAAAUCGUGGAUCCGUCAUAGCCGCAAGGCGACGGCGGAGUUAUAUGCUGGAAAAACCGGAGUAUAGAAAUGUACCAAUAAGUUUGAUACAGUUAACUUAUUAGUAAUAAUCAUUUCUUGCGGUUUAUCAGCAGGAAUUAAUAAAUAAAAUUAUGUCACCAAUAGAAGGCGGCGCAGGUGAUUUUGAGCGUCGCACAAUAAUAAAAGAGGGGCAAGACGCGUUACUGGGAGCUCUAAGUGAAUUACAGGAAGUACCAGUCAUGAGGGCGCUGAGCAGACUUGACUCGUUAUUUGAACAUAAUUCAGUUUUGAAAGCUUUUUUAAAAGCUGACAAAAAUAACGAAAAGAAAGUAUCAGAUGCAAUUAAAGCUCUUAGGAGCUUGCCAGAAGUACAAGCAAUUGAGAAAGCUUACGACUUAAUAAUGGAAGUCAAUGGCUCGCUCCCCAAUGUCUAAAAAAUAUUAAUUCCUCAGAGACUAAACACCAACCUGCUUACUUUUCUGCGUAAUUCUGCGUUAAUUCGGCGCAGUUCUGCGACGAGCGAAGCGAGUAGAUGAUAUAGUCCGAUCUUUGUGGCGACACAAAGAGGCAAACAGAAAUAUUUUGCCCACGUAAUGAUCGUUUUUCCGCGACUGUCUGCGUACAGUCUGCGUGAUUCUGCGGUUGUUACGGAGUAACAACAAUGCCUAAAAAGUAACGGAGGAGUCUAUUAAGGUCAGCUAGGCGCGAAUGGAAACCGUGCCGAUAGUGUAAUGGCAUAAGCUGGCCUAACUGCGAGACGUACAUGUCAAGCAGAUGCGAAAGCAGAGCAUAGUGAUCCGCAGGCCCGCUUUAGAUGCGGCCUAAGCUCAACGGAUAAAAGCUACUCCGGGGAUAACAGGCUAGUUCCGCCCAAGAGUUCAUAUCGACGGCGGAGUUCGGCACCUCGAUGUCGGCUCAACAUAUCCUGGCGGUGGAGAAGCUGCCAAGGGUUUGGCUGUUCGCCAAUUAAAAUGUUACGUGAGCUGGGUUAAAACCGUAGAGCACCUUUUGAAUAGUUUGCAAAGGAUGCUGUACAGUUUUAACCCAGAGGUUCUAGACAUCAUACACGGCGGCAUUUCGCAGUAAUGCGGGAUGAGAAGCUAACUAAUAUCGGUGAACCCUUCGACAGGCUCAGGGCAAGACCCUAAGUUUGUACAGGUAACACCGAGGGAAGUUGAAUUUCACGUUCAGCCCUCGUCUUCGGAUGAGGUGCUGGGGUGGAGAAGUCAGCAAAUUAAAACAGAUUCCGCGUACGCAUCUUGCCCGAAUCUAUGGAUUGUAAAUCCAGAGAAGUAGGCAAGCUGAAAUUGUUGGUGCGCCAACGAUGACAGGAUCUUGUAGUUCGCGUUUGGCAUUUGCCCGAGGGUGAGGAUAUCUGAAACGAAGUCCCUCGUAAUCAACCUCUGCUGAUUUCCCACUCCCUCCUUUUUCUUCAAAAAAGGAGGGCUGUAUGUGGAAUUUAACACCCGUAGAGACUGAAUGUUAGCCACCCUAAAUUUAUUGAAGGGUGAUGUUACAGUCCAAUCCACUCAGUAAUGAGUGAAGAUUCCGUUUAAGUUUAAGCGGAAUUGCAGAUGCGUGAGACAGGUUGGUCUCCUAUCUGCUGUGGGCGUUGAUUCUUGAGAGGAUUUCUUGACAGUACGAGAGGACCUCAAGGAACUAACCUCUGGUGUAUCUGCUGUCCUGCCAAGGGCAUCGCAGAGUAGCUAUGUUGGGAGUGGAUAACCGCUGAAAGCAUCUAAGCGGGAAGCCGGCCUCAAGAUUAGGAAUCGUAGAUCCCUAGGAGAUGACUAGGUUGAUAGGCUCUAGGUGUACGCGCAGUAAUGCGCUCAGCCGAGGAGUACUAAUUCAUCAAAAGACAUUCUAUU
rnacentral:rRNA from 1 species